rnacentral:misc_RNA from 1 species
CGAUAUAAACUUGCGCGUAAAAGAGUCGCUUGCUUCGUUUCAACGGGACACUGUAUAACAAGUUGCUUGCUUAGUAAGUGAAUGAAUAAAAACCCGUACGGCUCACUCUGUGCUGUGAGUGCUGAGAGUGUUUCGCACCUUGCGAGGCGUUCGGCGAGUGGGCGUGUAAGGAGGCCAGCGAGGGUUGCCUCGAGGGUGCCCGUACGCUCGCCCUUGAACCGCGUCUUUCCUGCGCGUGCAGGAGCUUGUUCUCUCUCAGUAACGACACGUUCAUCAGACGGGCGUUCGGUGUAUUGAAGAUGGUACGGUUCUCACGCCAGCGAGCCCUGGAACAGUUGCUGAAAAGCCUAAGGACGACGCAGAUGAUGAUGAACAUGAGGGCCAUACCAACGAGAACACCGAUCAUCGUCGGAUCGAUAUAUUGGAGAUUGGGUUCCUCGAUGUGCUCGGCUGUAAAAAACAUAUUUCACUUGCUUAAUAACCUUUCUCUAACAAUCCUUCCUUUUCAUAUCUUUUCAUCCGCAGUUAAGUUCUAUUUCAUAUCUUCCAUUUUCAGAAAACGUAAUUCAUCGUUUAUUUCAAUGAGACUCGAGCAGCCUUGAUGAAAGAGAAAAAUAAAGAGAUACGAUGAGGUCGAAUAAUUUCUGAACUCUUUCUUUCAUGGUUUAUAUAAAAGUUGGUAUAAUUGAUUGGGACGUGUAUAUCUUUUCACUAGCUAAAGUUAGAUAUUCUUUACACGAUAGUAUAUCUUUUUUCCCGACAGUAACUGAUAAAAACUUUUACUGUAUUUAGUUAACCGCAAUUUACUACAAUCUAUUUUAUAUAAAAUGUAGUCUCGUGUUCUCGCCUUCUAAUCUCAGAUUACUAAGAAAAGUGAAUUGGUCGGAACUAGGAUUUUAACACAUUCAUUGCUAAUAGCGCACAUGAUAAAUUGAUUCUAUUAUUUAAGUAAUACUCAUGCCGCAAUUUUUGUCCUUUAUGUGAUAUACUAUAUGAUAUACUAUAUAAAAACAUUAAAAAUUGAAAUAAUGAUUUCUUUAAAAGAAACAACUAUUAGAAGUGAACUAGCUAAUAUUAUUAACGAAAUUUCGCUAGUUACGAAUAUCGAUCUAUAGUUUGUCAAUUUACUAAUAUCAUUAAUUACUAAAUUAUUGUGCAAAAGAGCUCAGGUGUAUUUCACCACGUUUAAGUAACGAAUAAUAUUAUGGCCUUGUAUGCAUACAACGAUCGCGACUCACUUCUGCGCUACUUUUCAAUUAAACCCUGACGUGUCCAAUUUAAUUUACAACGCAUCAAGAGGGAAAAUAAAAAUGUUAAAGGUACGGAAGCUACGACUUCGCCACUUUUCGCGCUAUUCACGCUCUGUUAAUUGUUAGUGCGAGACCAGCUGACGAAUUAAUGAACUUUGCAGGAUUUUAGGUCGGUAUUCCAUUAACUCGGGACGAAUGGUUGUCAUCGUAAGCGGACGCGUGAGGAAUCUCAUUAAAAAGUACGCGGAAACUCGCGUCCCUCCUCCUUGCUGUUCCUCCCUGUGUUUCUGCUCUUACCGACGCAUACAAUCGAGCCAUCAGAUUGGGUAACCGGGAUCUUCUCGAAGAUGC